AGGUGGAGUGGGGUGGCCGCAACCAAGAGGGAGCUGGUUUGACUGUUGGGGAGGAAGUGGAAGCAGUCAAUUCAUUUAUGUCUCGUGCUGCAUUGACAACAAAAUAUAUGACCAAAUCUGCACGCACAGAUAUGAUCACUAUCCAUGUUCGUGGAUGGAACCUAAGGAAAAAGUUAAAUCUUCACAAUUAUCUUGCUCAAAGAUAUGUUAAG